rnacentral:rRNA from 1 species
UACGUAGGGUGCGAGCGUUGUCCGGAAUUAUUGGGCGUAAAGAGCUCGUAGGCGGUUUGUCGCGUCGGCUGUGAAAACCCGGGGCUCAACCCCGGGCCUGCAGUCGAUACGGGCAAACUAGAGUGUGGUAGGGGAGACUGGAAUUCCUGGUGUAGCGGUGAAAUGCGCAGAUAUCAGGAGGAACACCGGUGGCGAAGGCGGGUCUCUGGGACGGUACUGACGCUGAGACGCGAAAGCGUGGGGAGCAAACAGG